GAGCGAACGCUGGCGGCAGGCUUAACACAUGCAAGUCGAGCGGGCAUCUUCGGAUGUCAGCGGCAGACGGGUGAGUAACACGUGGGAACGUACCCUUCGGUUCGGAACAACUCUGGGAAACUGGAGCUAAUACCGGAUACGCCCUUAUGGGGAAAGGUUUACUGCUGAAGGAUCGGCCCGCGUCUGAUUAGCUAGUUGGUGGGGUAACGGCCUACCAAGGCGACGAUCAGUAGCUGGUCUGAGAGGAUGAUCAGCCACACUGGGACUGAGACACGGCCCAGACUCCUACGGGAGGCAGCAGUGGGGAAUAUUGGACAAUGGGCGCAAGCCUGAUCCAGCCAUGCCGCGUGAGUGAUGAAGGCCUUAGGGUUGUAAAGCUCUUUUGUCCGGGACGAUAAUGACGGUACCGGAAGAAUAAGCCCCGGCUAACUUCGUG
rnacentral:rRNA from 1 species